UAGCUACACAUAAAUACACACACACACACACACUAUGUAUAGCUACACAUAAAUACACACACACACACACUAUGUAUAGCUACACAUAAAUACACACAAACACUAUGUAUAGCUGCACAUAAAUACACACUCACAGUAUAGAAGUAAAACAAAUGUGUUUCUGCACUCGGUCACACAUACCGUGGCAUACCGUGGCAGGGGGAUAUUUGAAGAGUGAAACACACACCAGUGAGGAGAACGUGAGUAUACAUAUGAAGCUAGAGGGGGAGCGAGGAUCUAUUGGAAACCCCCCCUCGUUCCAAAAGCUCUGCCAGACGGGUCUCUCUGACCCACACACACUACACAUGAUACACACACACACUACACACACAUUAAAGACCCCAGGCUUCAGCGCAGCUCCCCCUGUGAAGUCGAGAGCCUGCUCAAACAGAAUGGCUAGCACUCCCACGCCACCGCCAGCUCCUACAACACAUGCACUCACGAGUCCAUUGGCGUCAGAGCUGAGGCUCAAAUAUGCAUGCAUCUCUCUCUCCCCUUUUAACCAUCCUCUAAAGUUGAGAGACUAAAAGAUCAGGGCUGCCCUCGUUCAUUCUCCUGCCUCUGGGGAGAUGGACAGACUGAGAAAGGGGAGGGGGUACGUUAGAGUGAGAGAGAGACUGAUAGGUUAGAGGGUGACAAAGAAUAGAGAGGGAGGGUGGAGAGUGAGACUGAGAAAGGAGAGUAAAGAAACCGUGGAGUAAAAAUGAUAGAGUGUUGAGAGUGGGGGAGAAAAAAGAGGGAGGACAACAAAGACAGGAAAGAAGAGAGCCGGGGAACAGAGACGGGAAAGAAGAGAGCCGGGGAACAGAGACGGGAAAGAAGAGAGCCGGGGAACAGAGACGGGAAAGAAGAGAGCCGGGGAACAGAGACGGGAAAGAAGAGAGCCGGGGAACAGAGACGGGAAAGAAGAGAGCCGGGGAACAGAGACGGGGAAAACUGAUUUGAAGUCUGUUUUUUUCUGUUUUAUUUGUGAUGAAAUACGUGAUGAGUUUGCUGAAAGCAACAAUACAAGGUUUCCUGCUCGCGGGAUUGAAUUUUGCGUGGAAGAGAAAACAACACAGACAAGACUAGCUUUUAAUGAACACCUUUUCAGCUUUUGAUCAACAAGUACAGAGGCGAAGGUCUUGCCAAGGUCUCACUAGGCUAGAUUAAAAACAUUUUCUUCCAGUAUUUCUUUUGUUAUGACUUUAUGAAAUAUUUUUCAAUUAGUAUUUCUUCUCUGAAAUUCCUGACGAUCCACUUAGAGACAUUCCAAAUAGCCGAAGGACACCUUGACGACACAAGUGAUGGUUGUCACGGCUACGUAGCGAGAGCUAGACCUUUAGACAAGGAUUGUGCGACUGUAGGACAACUGAAUAAGGCUCUCACUAUCAAAUGUUCCAGUCUUUAUGGGAGUUACAAGAGUUUUCAUCCAAACAUAUCUUUACUAUCGUGAUACCACAGUCACACACCCAUAUAAAUAUAGCUCUUUAGACUUAUUUUCAUUAAUUGAUGAAGCCAAAUAAUAUAUAUGGAUUGUGUUUUUUGACCGUUAACAUUUUUUGGACUGGUGUUUGAUUCUUGUGUCAGGUGACUGGUGUUUGAUUCUUGUGUCAGGUGACUGGUGUUUGAUUCUUGUGUCAGGUGACUGGUGUUUGAUUCUUGUGUCAGGUGACUGGUGUUUGAUUCUUGUGUCCGGUGACUGGUGUUUGAUUCUUGUGACUGGUGUUUGAUUCUUGUGUCAGGUGACUGGUGUUUGAUUCUUGUGUCAGGUGACUGGUGUUUGAUUCUUGUGUCAGGUGACUGGUGUUUGAUUCUUGUGUCCGGUGACUGGUGUUUGAUUCUUGUGACUGGUGUUUGAUUCUUGUGUCAGGUGACUGGUGUUUGAUUCUUGUGUCCGGUGACUGGUGUUUGAUUCUUGUGACUGGUGUUUGAUUCUUGUGACUGGUGUUUGAUUCUUGUGACUGGUGUUUGAUUCUUGUGACUGGUGUUUGAUUCUUGUGUCAGGUGACUGGUGUUUGAUUCUUGUGUCAGGUGACUGGUGUUUGAUUCUUGUGUCCGGUGACUGGUGUUUGAUUCUUGUGUCAGGUGACUGGUGUUUGAUUCUUGUGUCAGGUGACUGGUGUUUGAUUCUUGUGUCAGGUGACUGGUGUUUGAUUCUUGUGUCAGGUGACUGGUGUUUGAUUCUUGUGUCAGGUGACUGGUGUUUCAUUCUUGUGUCAGGUGACUGGUGUUUCAUUCUUGUGUCAGGUGACUGGUGUUUGAUUCUUGUGUCAGGUGACUGGUGUUUGAUUCUUGUGUCAGGUGACUGGUGUUUGAUUCUUGUGUCAGGUGACUGGUGUUUGAUUCUUGUGUCAGGUGACUGGUGUUUGAUUCUUGUGUCAGGUGACUGGUGUUUGAUUCUUGUGUCAGGUGACUGGUGUUUGAUUCUUGUGUCCGGUGACUGGUGUUUGAUUCUUGUGACUGGUGUUUGAUUCUUGUGACUGGUGUUUGAUUCUUGUGUCAGGUGACUGGUGUUUGAUUCUUGUGUCAGGUGACUGGUGUUUGAUUCUUGUGUCAGGUGACUGGUGUUUGAUUCUUGUGUCAGGUGACUGGUGUUUGAUUCUUGUGUCCGGUGACUGGUGUUUGAUUCUUGUGUCCGGUGACUGGUGUUUGAUUCUUGUGUCAGGUGACUGGUGUUUGAUUCUUGUGUCAGGUGACUGGUGUUUGAUUCUUGUGUCAGGUGACUGGUGUUUGAUUCUUGUGUCAGGUGACUGGUGUUUGAUUCUUGUGUCAGGUGACUGGUGUUUGAUUCUUGUGUCCGGUGACUGGUGUUUGAUUCUUGUGACUGGUGUUUGAUUCUUGUGACUGGUGUUUGAUUCUUGUGACUGGUGUUUGAUUCUUGUGUCAGGUGACUGGUGUUUGAUUCUUGUGUCAGGUGACUGGUGUUUGAUUCUUGUGUCCGGUGACUGGUGUUUGAUUCUUGUGUCAGGUGACUGGUGUCAGGUGACUGAUAGUGCUCGAUGUCUCCUCCC